rnacentral:lncRNA from 1 species
AGCGAUCCCAUUUGGUGGGUACAAGAUGAGUGGACAAGGCAGAGAAAAGGGUAUUCACUGUCUCAGCAAUUACUUGCAAGUGAAGGCCGUUGUCACUCCCUUGAAGGACCCUGCAUGGAUUUAAAAUUCCUUCAAGCUAUCGUUUACAAUGCUACAUCUGUUUCGUUGAUUAGUGAAUAUUGCAGGAAUAAAGAUGAUUGAGGAAUUGUUAUUUUAUCAUAGAUUUAUGGAAUGGAGUGGUGAAAUGUUGAUUGUGACGGAAAAAAAAACUAUAAUUCUUGUCAGCUUGUCCAGUCGUCAACCCAAGGCUUCGAAUUAGGCUUCUUUAUUUUUUUUAUGCAAUUUUCAUUCCCCCUUUAAAACACAAUAUUCCCAUAGAAAACCAUAUGCAGCUUUAACAGGGAAUAGUCAUGUUUCCACACAAAUCAAUCCGGAGAAACUUGGUGUUCUUAGCUCACUCCAGCAAACCACGAUCUUUCCAAACCAUUCUUACAUACUUUUAAAGAUACUUAACCGUAUUCAGGAAAUCGAUCCCUUGGAUUGAAUAUAUCCAGAAAGUAUUGACUACGAUAAUACUCCGCUAGCAACAUGCAAAUGGUGCAUUAAGCAAUCAAGUCGCCUAAAUCCUAAGCAGCUUCUAUCUCAUGGUUUGCAUAAUUGCAUCCAACUACACAUAUUAAGUUUCUUUGAUCCUUGUCAUGCCCCCACCAAAGAGUAGGAACAAUUUAUCAAUUUUAAUAGUAGGUGCUCUGACACAUGACAAGGCAUAUAAAAGAAUGAAGGUGGGGGAUACCUGGAUUUCCAAACACUAAAUUUUGCUGCAUUUUCUGUAUGAUAAGGUUGAAAGAACUCCUCUCUUUUAACAUCCAGAAUCCUUGAAAACCAUCGC